rnacentral:lncRNA from 1 species
AGAAGACUUGAGACAGAAGCUGUCAGCACUUCAUCUUUGGCAUCUAAGUGGCUGUGAAAGAUGAUCACAAUUUAGUCAAAAGACAUAAUCUUGUCCAGUUAUAUUUGAAGAAAAUCAUGUUUAAGGAAUGUGUACACUUUUCCUCUCCUGUUUUUACACAGUUUUACAAACAGUAUGUUUCACAAACAUAAAAAUGAUUUUUAACUUCUGAUACUAUUUCCCUUUUUAUUUUUAAGAAGAAAUCCUGCAGAAAUUUAGAGAUAAAAAAACACUGAUUUUCUGAAAUAACAAAAUAUUUAUGAAUCAGUAGCCAAUAAUAUUUAAUUCCCCAAAGCAGAGCAAUUGAAGCCAUUUCCAGUCAUCAAUACACAAAUAGACUGCAAAAUGUUAUAAUUAUCUUAUGUUUAAAGACAAUAGUUAUUUAAAACAAUUUGUUCUUACCUCUAGAUUUUCUUAAGUCUCUUCAUUAUUGCUAGAAAAUAUUGUCAAGGUCCUUUUAAUCAUAUCUUAGCAUAUUAAAUGUUGGUAUCCAUAUAGGUAACAAUCGUUUAUUUUUUAAUCUUUUAGUAUGUCUUGGGAAUUAAUGAUUCCCCUAUUUUUUUUACCUGC